rnacentral:rRNA from 1 species
CGGAGGGUGCAAGCGUUAUCCGGAUUUACUGGGUUUAAAGGGUGCGUAGGUGGGUUUGUAAGUCAGUGGUGAAAUCUCCGAGCUUAACUCGGAAACUGCCAUUGAUACUAUAGAUCUUGAAUUAUCUGGAGGUAAGCGGAAUAUGUCAUGUAGCGGUGAAAUGCUUAGAUAUUACAUAGAACACCAAUUGCGAAGGCAGCUUACUACGGAUAUAUUGACACUGAGGCACGAAAGCGUGGGGAUCAAACAGGAUUAGAUACCCUGGUAGUCCACGCCCUAAACGAUGGAUACUCGACAUCAGCGAUACACUGUUGGUGUCUGAGCGAAAGCAUUAAGUAUCCCACCUGGGAAGUACGAUCGCAAGAUUG